ACUGCACUUGGUUUAUUAGGUGUGGUCCUUUAGUGGACUUUUGAUCAGCUUUGUGUGAGGGUUAGGGUCUAUGACAAUAUAAGGAAACUAUGUGAAUCCCACAUGCAUGCAUGUAGUUAGCGUAGCAAACACGAUAACAAGCUAAUUUAAAUCAUAGAAAAUGAAAAUGUUUGGAAGUCUUGGAAGAAUAAAGGUUGGAACUUUCUAAAAAAUGUGGCCUUUUAGGACUGUUUGGAAGUCUUGGAAGAACAAAGAUUGGAACUUUCUAAAAAAUGUGGCCUUUUAGGACUGGAAUGUAUCGAAAAGGCGCGAGUUUUUGUUGGUCGUAACUUACUUGAUGCCCUACAAGGUCAUAUUAGGAAACUUCUUUUUCUCAUGUUUUAAAGUUUUGUGUUCUGUUUCUGGUGUUUACAUCUCUAAUGACCUGUGGACUUGGAAUACCAGCGGUUUUGUUGCCUGAAUUGAUGUAAAGUGAAUUACUUAAUCCUUCAUAUCUCUAUCCACUCGACAGAGAUCAGAUGGCAAUUACCUCCCUGACUAACCUUGUGAUGAGUUUCUGCUUCUUAGUUCUUACAGAGAUGAGAUGUGCAUUCGAUUGGUAAACUAUCGAUCGGUCAAUUUCUCGAGACAGAUUCAGCUGAUACAGUUUGUGGCAUCCAGAUCCGGGAUGCUCAUAUGUUGAAGCAUGAGACUUGAAUAUUCAGAGACACAUUCUUGAUGUGUUUCUGUGUUUCCUAAUGCGUUGCCUUGCUGAAGCUAGCUGAGAUGAGUUAUAGUGGCACAGCAAGGCAUAUACAUGGGGGAUGAACACGCAUAUUUUUUCAUGCGCCUAUUCUGUUUCGGGGAAUUUGAUGCAGUUACUUUAUUAAGCUUCUUUUGGAGAAGAAAUAUGCUUUGCCCUAUCGGGUUCUAGAUGCUGUGGUUGCUCGCUCACUUCAUGAGGUUUCUCCUUAACCGAGACUUACAUUCUUCUGUUUCUACAGUCAACAACCCCAUCGAAGAGGACAGAUUCGACCUACCAGAGGUUUCAACGGGGGAAGAUGAAUCAUCCUACUGGAAGAGCUUUACCGAUAGCUUCUUACUAUGGAGUAUUCACCCUCCUUCGGAGCACACACGAGUUAGUGUUUGAUUUUGACAAUUGGGUGAAUAGAAAAUCAGUUGCAUGCCAGGAAAAAUAUAUCUUUUGAAGGAUUGAUCAUUGAGUAAUUAUUGGUAGGAAUAGGAUAGGAUAAUAAUGCCUGCCCUUUAAGGCAUUUUACUCAAAUGACUCAGUUGAGUCGCAGGAAUUUCUAAGGUACACCACCUGAAAAAGUAAUUUUUUUUCGAUUUUAUACCA